UACGGAGGGUGCGAGCGUUAUCCGGAUUCACUGGGUUUAAAGGGUGCGUAGGUGGGAAUGUAAGUCAGUGGUGAAAUCUCCGUGCUUAACACGGAAACUGCCCAUUGAUACUAUGUUUCUUGAAUUUUCUGGAGGUUAGCGGAAUAUGUCAUGUAGCGGUGAAAUGACUUAGAUAUGACAUAGAACACCGAUUGCGAAGGCAGCUAACUACAGGGAUAUUGACACUGAGGCACGAAAGCGUGGGGAUCAAACAGG
rnacentral:rRNA from 1 species